rnacentral:rRNA from 1 species
GAUGAACGCUGGCGGCGUGCCUAAUACAUGCAAGUCGAGCGAACAGACGAGGAGCUUGCUCCUCUGACGUUAGCGGCGGACGGGUGAGUAACACGUGGAUAACCUACCUAUAAGACUGGGAUAACUUCGGGAAACCGGAGCUAAUACCGGAUAAUAUAUUGAACCGCAUGGUUCGAUAGUGAAAGACGGUUUUGCUGUCACUUAUAGAUGGAUCCGCGCCGCAUUAGCUAGUUGGUAAGGUAACGGCUUACCAAGGCAACGAUGCGUAGCUGACCUGAGAGGGUGAUCGGCCACACUGGAACUGAGACACGGUCCAGACUCCUACGGGAGGCAGCAGUAGGGAAUCUUCCGCAAUGGGCGAAAGCCUGACGGAGCAACGCCGCGUGAGUGAUGAAGGUCUUCGGAUCGUAAAACUCUGUUAUUAGGGAAGAACAAAUGUGUAAGUAACUAUGCACGUCUUGACGGUACCUAAUCAGAAAGCCACGGCUAACUACGUG